AGUCAGAAUCCAUGCCAGAAAGGGGUGAUUUUCUCCUGCACAACGUAGUCGGAUACGGAUAGGCUUCGGCCCCGAACCUUAGCAGGCUGGCACCGGGGAGUCCGUGGAAAUCGGGCUUCCUAGCUGGCGGAUUGCAAUUUCACUUUGCGCAGGGAUAAAUCCUUUGCAGACGACUUAGUUGCGCGGUACGGUCGUGUACGCUGUCGAGUAGCCUU
rnacentral:rRNA from 1 species